AGCUGGCGGAGCUACCAUGCAGUCGAACGGUAACAGGAAGCAGCUUGCUGCUUUGCUGACGAGUGGCGGACGGGUGAGUAAUGUCUGGGAAACUGCCUGAUGGAGGGGGAUAACUACUGGAAACGGUAGCUAAUACCGCAUAACGUCGCAAGACCAAAGAGGGGGACCUUCGGGCCUCUUGCCAUCGGAUGUGCCCAGAUGGGAUUAGCUAGUAGGUGGGGUAACGGCUCACCUAGGCGACGAUCCCUAGCUGGUCUGAGAGGAUGACCAGCCACACUGGAACUGAGACACGGUCCAGACUCCUACGGGAGGCAGCAGUGGGGAAUAUUGCACAAUGGGCGCAAGCCUGAUGCAGCCAUGCCGCGUGUAUGAAGAAGGCCUUCGGGUUGUAAAGUACUUUCAGCGGGGAGGAAGGCGAUGAGGUUAAUAACCUUGUCGAUUGACGUUACCCGCAGAAGAAGCACCGGCUAACUCCGUGCCAGCAGCCGCGGUAAUACGGAGGGUGCAAGCGUUAAUCGGAAUUACUGGGCGUAAAGCGCACGCAGGCGGUCUGUCAAGUCGGAUGUGAAAUCCCCGGGCUCAACCUGGGAACUGCAUUCGAAACUGGCAGGCUAAACGGUCUUGUAGAGGGGGGUAGAAUUCCAGGUGUAGCGGUGAAAUGCGUAGAGAUCUGGAGGAAUACCGGUGGCGAAGGCGGCCCCCUGGACAAAGACUGACGCUCAGGUGCGAAAGCGUGGGGAGCAAACAGGAUUAGAUACCCUGGUAGUCCACGCCGUAAACGAUGUCGACUUGGAGGUUGUGCCCUUGAGGCGUGGCUUCCGGAGCUAACGCGUUAAGUCGACCGCCUGGGGAGUACGGCCGCAAGGUUAAAACUCAAAUGAAUUGACGGGGGCCCGCACAAGCGGUGGAGCAUGUGGUUUAAUUCGAUGCAACGCGAAGAACCUUACCUACUCUUGACAUCCAGAGAACUUUCCAGAGAUGGAUUGGUGCCUUCGGGAACUCUGAGACAGGUGCUGCAUGGCUGUCGUCAGCUCGUGUUGUGAAAUGUUGGGUUAAGUCCCGCAACGAGCGCAACCCUUAUCCUUUGUUGCCAGCGGUUAGGCCGGGAAAUCAAAGGAGAAAACCAAAGAUAAAAGAUAGGAAGGGGGGGAGGACGUCAAGUCAUCAUGGCCCUUACGAGUAGGGCAACACAAAGGUAACAAUGGCGCAUACAAAGAGAAAUGACCUCGGGAAGCAAGCGGAAUCAAAGGAGUUGUGAAGUCCGAAAAUGAGUCUGCAACUGGACGACGAAAGUCGGAAAAGUUGAGAAUCGUGGAUCAUAAGGCCAAGAUGGAGGUAUUCCGAGGCUUUAUACACACCGCCCAUCACAGCCAUGGGAAUGAAAACAAAAGCAGGGCAAAGCUAACCAUUGUGAGGGCAGAUACCUGUUUUGUGACACGCUCCAGGACGAGGUCAACUCACAAUAGCACAGCGCC
rnacentral:rRNA from 1 species